UGAGAACAACUACAACAAGGAGGAUGGUUGGGAUUUUUUUUGGGUGCAAAAAAUUGGAAAUGUCUUUCAGCCUCCAGCAUCUCAAUGAGAGUAAGCAACUGGUAGUGGAAU